rnacentral:lncRNA from 1 species
UCCUCCUCCAGAUCUCUUCAUUAUUUUGGAGCAUCCAAGGUGUUUGAAGAAGAAGGAAGAAAUCAGCCUCCAAGUUUUCUUGCAAGCUAGCACUUCCAAGGACCCUGAUCUGCGCUGGUCUUUGCAUGGACUUUCUGUAGAGGUUAGAUGACUUUGUAUGGCUGUGAGCAAUCUAAAAGAGAGCCUCUCCAAGUAUUGGACUAGAAGAGAUCAAGAGACUUCAGUUUGGUAAUAGUUUCUAAACUUUUCUUGAUCAUGUAUAUUAGAUCUAAUGGUUAGAUCUUCAUGG